GAAAGAUAUAAAUGCUUUAAGUUAAGGUAUGGGCUUUUUACCUACUAUCACUUCUUUGGACAUAAUGCACGUAUUUAUAAAGCAAUGAAAGAUUGGAGACUGAAGUUGAAGAGAAUAUUUUUUUGGCUAAAUUUUUUGUAUAUUGCUUGAUGAAUUCUAAGCUAGGAUCAAGGAGUUAUAAGAAGUUGAAGUCAAUGAUUGCAAUCUAAGGACAAUAAGUGACCUGAUUUACUAGUGGUUGUAUUUUGAGCCAUAUCUUGAGCAAUUUUACAAGAUUUUUACAAAAGUUUUUUUAAAAAUAUGUGUUAUCAUAUUAAUAAAUUUUUUAUAUAAGUUUUAUAGCAUUUGGAGUUUGGAAAUUUGAGAUAUGGAAAAAAUAGUAUUUAGGUGCUUGUAAAUUAAGAUUUAAAGUACUUGCUAGGAUUUUUAAGAUGCCAAAUGGUGUGUAGUAGGUUUAUAAUUUAUUUCUUUUAUGAUAAAGCUUAAAGAUAUAUUCU
rnacentral:lncRNA from 1 species